AGUUAUUUCAGUCUGAGGUUGGUUCCAGCUCAUUUCUGGUCCCUGUGCUGGUGAUACCUGGAGGAUGUCGUACUGUUGCUCCCCGUUGUGUCCAGACCUGCGAUAUCGGAAGGGCUGGAGGCCGUACGUUGGUGGUGGGUCGAGCCAAGGUGGUGGUUCUCACCUCUGG